AAAUGACAAAGAGAACGUCAUCGUCUGGAAAGCAUCGCAAUAAGAUGCACACGAUGUGCCACCGCUGUGGCUCUGAAGCCUACCACCUUCAGAAGUCAACCUGUGGCAAAUGUGGCUACAUUGCCAAGUGCAAGAGAAAGUGUAACUGAAGUAUCAAGGCUAAAAGUUGAAACACCACCAGGACUGAUCAUAUGGGGCGCCUAAAAAUUGCACACUGCAGAUUCAGGCAUGGAUUCUGUGAAAGAACAACACAUAAACCCAAGAAGGCAGCUAUUGCAACAUCCAGCUUAUC
rnacentral:lncRNA from 1 species